AACACAGAGCUCCAGUUAGCUGAGGUGAAGCCUAGCACACAGCUAACAGCUACAACCACCUGUCAGUCAAAGAGACCACGCCCCCAGUCACAAACGUUAAGCCUGAAUACAAUUUAAACAGAGCCCCGUCUGGACUUCCUGACAGGAAAACCUUCAGUGCUGAGGCCUUCAGUGGGAAAGACCGAGCCUAUGUUUGGACACAGAUUUAAACAUGGCUGCAACUUUCCCACUCCACUGACCUGCUACAGACCACAACCUGCUCCCGGUGUCACCCACUCAUAGCGAUGGUGCACAAGAAAUUCAAUUUUUUGGGAGCUGAAGGUGAACUCCUGUGGAAGUACAGCAACAUCAUUCGAACUCCAUCGUCUGAGGGCAUUCUGAAGGUGUACCCUUUGUCUGCGCUCACAGGGCUGCUGGAGGAGAAUAUUUUUCAUGACACCCUUCGCCGCUCAAAGAACAGAGCAUGGAUAAUGACAACAGACGUGACACUGAUUAAAUCAGAAGUAACAUGAACAGUAUGAAAGGAGGAGUAUGGGUGGAGGUAUGGUUGACAAGCAGCUUGCAGAGGCAGCAGCAGGUAUGCACCUGAAGCAGUUUAUGCCCCAAUCACGGACGACCAACACGAGGAUAUCAGAUCAUCCCCCCAAUCACACAGGCCUAUAGACCAGUGACUCCAUGGUAACCACUGGUUGCUAGGGAAAUGUGUUUAUUAUUCAGCUGGUGAGUGGUUGCUGGAGGUUGGUGUGCCAAAAACCUUGUUGCAGUUACUUUGGUUGCCAGUGCCAAUUACCCGUAGUUUGCAUGGAAGACGCUAACUCUCUGCAAACACUCAGCAACUCGUUGUGCCUUCUGAAAUUUGUUUAAAGGGGCCACGGCAACUUUUACUCUGAAGGCAAAUAUUCUCAGUUUCCAGUUUCACUACAGCUUGAAGAGUAAAUGACGAGUGUUUGCAGACAUCGCCAUCUUCCAUGUAAACUGCAGGCAACUGCAGCAAUCUGCAACUGACCAACGCAAACACAAAGAGGAGUUUGGUGCAGCUGAUUUCACCCAAGCAACCUUCAGCAACCACUUAGCAACCAGUUGGGCAAUACACAUAUGAGCUCAUCAGCUUAGCUGAUGUGACUGGCAACAUCCCUGCAACCCCAACAUGACUGAUUCUUUGUGAAACAGAUAUCAGGAAGAAAGUAAAACUACGUUUUUUUGAAGGACCCUCCAGGGUCUCACCAUCACAAACGCAGACAUUUCAAAUAAUCUUCAGGUCUGUGAACGAACGUUUAGACAAUCAAGGGAAAUUUAAUAAACACUUGAUGCAUAUUUAGUCAGAUUGUUUGUUCUUUAACCAACAUUAGUUAAUAACUUGGCUGUCAUUGCUCUUUAAUCUGUGCAAAUAUAAUGUCUUGCUUUGCACGUUGUUUCUCCUGUAUUAUAGUGAUGUUUCCACAUCAAAACAUUCUUAAAUUAAACACAGGCAGGAAUCAUUUUACUCGGUUUUAUGGAAAAAUGAACACUGAACUCAACUUUACCUUCACGUUUUUAUUAAAUUUUGUUCAUCUUACAAAUUAAAACCAACUUAAACACAGAAAAUUAACUUCAAGUUCACAUUCUCAGUAAAUAAACUGUAAAAAUAAAGUUGAAGAGUGUUUUUCUUAACAAUGACCCAACUUCCUGGCAGUCCAUUCAUGUACUAUAUACAGUAUAAUGUACAUUACAUGGGCAAACAUAUACAAAUAAAUCAAAUGUCCGGCUGAUUUGAGGGCAAAUAAAAACAGAAGGCGCCCACUGAAUGAGCAGUAAACAAAAGACACA